CUUGGAGGUAUUCUCCAGGGCCUUCCUCCGCGGCCGCGGGACAAAUUGGACCGGAGAUUAAAGGACCGGAGUUUAACUCGAGAUGGACGACCAGCUCGCGGCCGUCGCUGCCAUUAAAGAAACCUUGUGGCUGUCGACCCCAGGUGUCUUGAACAAGCAGUUAGCCCCGUGCCGUUGAAGAGCAGCCCUUUACCCGGCCCAGUUCUCCUUCCCCGACUCAGUUUACCUCCCUAACGCAUCCCACAGGGGCGCCGGUUCAAGUCCUGUCUGCUCCACUUCCAAUCCCGCUCUCUGCUAUGGCCUGGGAAAACAGUUGAAGAUGGCCCAAGUCUUUGGGCCCCUACACCCACGUGGGAGACCCUGAAGAAGCUCCUGGCUUCAGAUCGGCCCAGCUCCAGCCAUUGUGGCCAUUUGGGAGUGAAUCAGCUGAUGGGAGACCUUUCUGUCUCUCCCUCCCUCUGUAACUCCACCUCUCAAAUACAUUUCUUU